rnacentral:lncRNA from 1 species
UCUCAACAAUCAACAUGACAAUAGAAUAAUAGCCCUCCAUAGAGGAACCAAGGAGAAAUGUCUUCCUUUCAUCAACAUAAAUUGUACUAACAAAAUAGGAGAGGAAUUUCAUCUCCUGUGUCAAUCCCAAGGAGAAGACACUGUGAGCUAAUUAACAUGCGCCCCAUGAUGGUAGGAGAGAAAUGAUCAUGCACAGAUGAUGUCUUCCCCUUCAGUAAGAUUGUACAAAACUGGAGAGAAAUUCCAUUCCAUUUGUCUCUCUCAAGGAAAGAUGGCAACCUAAUUAACAUGCAAAACAAGAAUAAGAUGGAGAUCACUUGGAGCAUGCGAAAAAAAAAACACCAAAGAUUCAGAGAGCGUAAAAUAGCCGCCAGCCAGUUUCUUUUUCCUGAGCAUGGCAGCAAAGUAGACUUUGUAUCAUCUCCAAAAUCUAAAACACAACAUACCUGCGGAUUCGAAUUCGAACCAUUCUCUGAAACUCUGGAAAUUCCGAGCAGGGCG